rnacentral:lncRNA from 1 species
GACACAGGCACCGGCUUAGAGACCUCAGUCCCCCGGAGGAGGCUGGUCUGUGGGCAUCUUAGGACAUCCGUGAGAAGGCUCCAGAUGGAAAAUGCUGGAGGGCCCAGGUUUUCAGGAAGGCACCUCCUCACCUUUCAGUCCGGGAGAACAUGUUCCAGCAAAGCCAGGGAGAGAGGCUCGCCGGCCCAGGCCUCUCCAGCUUCUCUUAAAGGCGAAAAGAGAAGCUGAGGACCCCGCACGCUCCCCAGCGCAUAGAGCUGAAGCCACGACCCCAAGGAUCCCAUCCAAGAAACCCUAUUAUGUUCAGUCAUCAGGUCUCCUUGGGCUCCUCUCGGCUGUGAUGGUUUCUCAGACUUGCCUUGUUUUUGAUGACCUGGGCAGUUCUGAGGCGUGCUGGUCAGGUGUUUUGCAGAAUGUUCUUCAGCUGGCAUUUGUUUGCUGAUUUUCCUCAUGAUGAAACGAGGGUCACGGGUUUGGGGGAAGAAAACCACAGGGAUAAGGGGCCAUUCUCGUCACAUAUCAAGGGCACAUACUGUCACCAUGACUUCUCGUUGCUGACGCUGACACUGACCCCCUGGCUGAGGCCGUGUUGGUCACUGUCCAGUUCCUCCUUUGGCCCUUUCCACGCUGUCCUCUUUGGAAGGAAGCACAUACCUCUCUGCACAGCACACACGGAAGGGCUGGGGAGUGAGGCUCCGCUCCCUGGAGGCUGAGUGUCCACCUGAUUCGGGAUUCGUCUGCACAGUUCGUCUGUCCUCCCUCGUUUGUGUCCCUCUCCAGUCACCGCUUUCCAGCGCUAUGGACUCAGGGAUACUUCCUUGAGGCGCUGGGUUAUCAUCCACUACUACUUCAUUCUGUUGCUCAGGCCUUUCCAGAUGUGGCCACUGGAGGCGCUUUCCAUUGGCUCCUGCGUCCCUCUGAUCUAUCUCAUCGCUGUGCUUUUGUGGAGCGCAUCCUUCUGAUACGAAGACGCGCCAGACUCCAGCUGUAUAUUCCCUGUCCUCGUCCUGCAAUCAGUCAUUUCUCCCAGGAGCCCUGGUUUCUCUCAUGACACCACGGUGUUAAAAA